UACAGAGACUGCAAGCGUUAUUCGGAUUCACUGGGCGUAAAGGGUGCGCAGGCGGUCGGGUGUGUCAGAUGUGAAAUCCCGAGGCUUAACCUCGGAACUGCGUCUGAAACUACUCGACUAGAGUACUGGAGAGGGUAACGGAAUUCACGGUGUAGCAGUGAAAUGCGUAGAGAUCGGGAGGAACACCAGUGGCGAAGGCGGCUACCUGGACCAGCACUGACACUGAAGCACGAAAGCGUGGGGAGCAAACAGG
rnacentral:rRNA from 1 species